AUAAGUACUCGUACUGUAGCUCGAGUCCUCAGUCCUCUGACGUCCUCGGAGUGCCGCGUCAAAGUGCCCUCUGAACGUCUUGAGAACCACAACCACCUCCAAAUACAUACAGACGCCCGGCACUCACCAUAACGCAAUGACACAAGUGCGUACAGUACCUUGACCAGACUCGAGUCGAGAUAGUCCCAGCUACCUCAACAGGGUGCUGACAGAUGCGGUGGUUAUUGAUACGCCCAAGAAAGACAGACAGACUCUGUCCGAUCUAAUGGCUUAUUACUGCUGUCAGCCGAACUGGGUCACUGUGUCCAUUGCUGAACCCGUCACCGGACCCCUGGCUCGCUCUGCUAUAUCACCGCUUCUCCACACUCCCCUCUCGCCGGUCGUAAAUCGGGCGUCCUACCCACUUGUUACAUCGGCCGGGACGUUACCCUACUGGUUUUGUCCACACACUGCUUGUCUGCGAUUUGUGGGGAAACGUUUAAUCAGUCAUGGCUGUUGGUUUGGGUUUCAAUAGUGCAUUAGAAUGCAGCUAAUGCUGAGCCUCAGGACGAAUAAAUGAUAGUGUAAUCGAAAAACAAGAGGACCUGUAU
rnacentral:misc_RNA from 1 species